rnacentral:tRNA from 1 species
CGGGGCGUGGCUCAGUUGGCUAGAGCGCACGGUUCGGGACCGUGAGGUCGCUGGUUCAAGUCCAGUCGCCCCGA